rnacentral:ncRNA from 1 species
UAUGUUCUUCCUGUUUAGGGAAGCUAAGAGGGAAGCAGGUGAGAUACCUGCGCGGUCCCGCCACUGUGAUUGGAGAGUUCUGUCCACGGUUUAACCAGCCACUGAUUGAAGAUCGGGAAGGCCGGACGGAGCGAUUGAUCCAUAAGCCAGGAGACCUGCAUAGAA